AAGCGAAUAGUAUUACAAAGCUUUUAUGUUAUAAUUCGUAUGUUUGAUAAUUGAGUUCGUCCCGCGCGGUCUGCCGCCGGCCAAGGUCCCGUGCGAUUUCGGGCCGUGAACCCUGUCAGGUCCGGAAGGAAGCAGCAGUAAGCGGUUUACGGAGUGCGCCGCGGGUCAAGCCUUACCGACGGCAGUUUGGGCGGGACGAACUUUUUGUUU
rnacentral:misc_RNA from 1 species